UACGUAGGGGGCUAGCGUUGUCCGGAAUCAUUGGGCGUAAAGAGCGUGUAGGCGGCCCGGUAAGUCCGCUGUAAAAGUCAAAGGCUCAACCUUUGAAUGUCAGUGGAUACUGCCGGGCUAGAGUCCGGAAGAGGCGAGUGGAACUCCUGGUGUAGCGGUGAAAUGCGUAGAUAUCUGGAGGAACACCGGUGGCGAAGGCGGCGUCCUGGACCAACACUGACACUGAGGAGCGAAAGCCAGGGGAGCAAACGGGG
rnacentral:rRNA from 1 species